rnacentral:misc_RNA from 1 species
GUAGGUGAACCUGCGGAAGGAUCAUUCACAAUAAGCGUUUUAUGGCGCUUUUUAAACAAAUCCAUAUCCACCUUGUGUGCAACGUUUGAGUUUUCCUCCCCUUUCCUUAACUGCGAGAGGGAGGAUUUCUUAACUACAUCAAUCUUUUUAAACCAGUUUGUCUGAACAAGUGUAUCGUGAAUUAACUUAAUUCGAAAAUACAACUUUCAACAACGGAUCUCUUGGCUCUC